rnacentral:tRNA from 1 species
ACAAUGGCAGUUCAGUGGUAGAAUUCUUCCCUGCCAUGGAGGAGACCCAGGUUCAAUUCCUGUCCAGUGCA